rnacentral:rRNA from 1 species
AGCUUGCUCCACCGGGAAAAGAGGAGUGGCGAACGGGUGAGUAACACGUGGGUAACCUGCCCAUCAGAAGGGGAUAACACUUGGAAACAGGUGCUAAUACCGUAUAACAAUCGAAACCGCAUGGUUUCGUUUUGAAAGGCGCUUUACGGUGCCGCUGAUGGAUGGACCCGCGGUGCAUUAGCUAGUUGGUGAGGUAACGGCUCACCAAGGCCACGAUGCAUAGCCGACCUGAGAGGGUGAUCGGCCACAUUGGGACUGAGACACGGCCCAAACUCCUACGGGAGGCAGCAGUAGGGAAUCUUCGGCAAUGGACGAAAGUCUGACCGAGCAACGCCGCGUGAGUGAAGAAGGUUUUCGGAUCGUAAAACUCUGUUGUUAGAGAAGAACAAGGGUGAGAGUAACUGUUCACCCCUUGACGGUAUCUAACCAGAAAGCCACGGCUAACUACGUGCCAGCAGCCGCGGUAAUACGUAGGUGGCAAGCGUUGUCCGGAUUUAUUGGGCGUAAAGCGAGCGCAGGCGGUUUCUUAAGUCUGAUGUGAAAGCCCCCGGCUCAACCGGGGAGGGUCAUUGGAAACUGGGAGACUUGAGUGCAGAAGAGGAGAGUGGAAUUCCAUGUGUAGCGGUGAAAUGCGUAGAUAUAUGGAGGAACACCAGUGGCGAAGGCGGCUCUCUGGUCUGUAACUGACGCUGAGGCUCGAAAGCGUGGGGAGCAAACAGGAUUAGAUACCCUGGUAGUCCACGCCGUAAACGAUGAGUGCUAAGUGUUGGAGGGUUUCCGCCCUUCAGUGCUGCAGCUAACGCAUUAAGCACUCCGCCUGGGGAGUACGACCGCAAGGUUGAAACUCAAAGGAAUUGACGGGGGCCCGCACAAGCGGUGGAGCAUGUGGUUUAAUUCGAAGCAACGCGAAGAACCUUACCAGGUCUUGACAUCCUUUGACCACUCUAGAGAUAGAGCUUCCCCUUCGGGGGCAAAGUGACAGGUGGUGCAUGGUUGUCGUCAGCUCGUGUCGUGAGAUGUUGGGUUAAGUCCCGCAACGAGCGCAACCCUUAUUGUUAGUUGCCAUCAUUUAGUUGGGCACUCUAGCAAGACUGCCGGUGACAAACCGGAGGAAGGUGGGGAUGACGUCAAAUCAUCAUGCCCCUUAUGACCUGGGCUACACACGUGC